AUUGAACGCUGGCGGCAUGCUUUACACAUGCAAGUCGAACGGUAACAGGCCUUCGGGUGCUGACGAGUGGCGAACGGGUGAGUAAUGCAUCGGAACGUACCCAGAGGUGGGGGAUAACGCAGCGAAAGCUGUGCUAAUACCGCAUGUGAUCUGAGGAUGAAAGCGGGGGACCGCGCAGCAAUGUUUGGCCUCGCGCCUUUGGAGCGGCCGAUGUCGGAUUAGCUAGUUGGUGGGGUAAAGGCCUACCAAGGCGACGAUCCGUAGCUGGUCUGAGAGGACGACCAGCCACACUGGGACUGAGACACGGCCCAGACUCCUACGGGAGGCAGCAGUGGGGAAUUUUGGACAAUGGGCGCAAGCCUGAUCCAGCAAUGCCGCGUGCGGGAAGAAGGCCUUCGGGUUGUAAACCGCUUUUGGCAGGAACGAAACGGUGUCCGCUAAUACCGGGCGCUAAUGACGGUACCUGAAGAAUAAGCACCGGCUAACUACGUG
rnacentral:rRNA from 1 species